UCCAAACUAUUAUCAAACAAAAGAAAGACCACAAACGGCCCACCAUAAACACCCAAGAACGAGGCUGAAGAUUAAGGCCCGAAACAGAACCCCCUCCCAAAAAGACACGUACACAACACGUGUUCAACGACGAAGGAUAACGUGUCCGAUGCAGAGGAAACCGUCUCCUGCCUCCACCGACAAGAUCUUACGCCGGCGCCCAAACCCAUCGGCGCCGUAUCAAACACCGUCUUCACCGGUUAACACAUCACCGGACCUAAUCAGUAACCACCAGAAUUCAACCUAAACGAGGAGCCACGCCAAUUCUUUCACCACUUUCACCGUUUCCAGAAACACAUCCCACCGUGUCCCACCGCAGCCAAAUCGGGAAUACAAUUCUCCACCAUCUUUUCCGGCCUCAAACUUCUCCAUCGAUCCAAACAAAGCGAUCGAUCACCGGAUUCCACCGGGAACCAAAGCCGAAUGAUUUCGCUUGGAAGAUCGCGAAAACAUCGGAGUCAAAGCCAGCUACACCGCGUCAUAGAGACCACCGUGCACCAGAGUCAUUGUCGUGAACCAGAAAGGAGAAAGAAAACGGGACCACCGCGACUUUCUCUAUCUCUCAAGAAA
rnacentral:lncRNA from 1 species